GCUGACUUGCCGGAAAGCUGAUCCGUGGCCCGUCUCCCACUUCACCACACGGAUAACCUGCUCAUCGCCCGGCACUGGGUGAGAUCGUCCUUGAUCACCUGACACGCCAGCUGGGCAGUCAGUACUUCAGGCCCAGCUGAAGUCAGUGCAGCCUGGCCCAGAGCAAUGGAAUUGCCCACAACUCAUCAACUUGUCAGCGGUCUCCAGUCCCGAGGUCAUUGCUCAUCAAGAGGGGAUAAUCCCAAGGACAGCAGGACCUACUUCAUCCCUUGGAUUUAGGAGGGAGAAGCCCAUCAGGCCACUAAACAGUAACAAUGACCCACCAUUAAACACACCGAGAGAAGAGCGUGAAGAGGAAUUUGUACAAGAAAAGUCCAGGAGUUCUCGCUGACAAUGUCUGACCACAGUGAGCUCUGCCCAUUGAACUGCAAUAAAAACUCUCCCCCUUCCCAGAGCUGUGUGGAUGUGGACACAGUUCAGGCAAUGGGCUAUGCCUGGAUAUAACAGAGUGAAAAGAAUUUGGACUGUGGGGGCCAGAUAGACCUGGGUUUAAAUUGUUAUUCUGCCACUUCUCUCUAGUAUGCUUUGGCAACAUUUAAAAAUCCCUGCCUCAUUUUUUCUUAUCUGCAAAAAAGUAGCUGAGACCUACACCGGGUCUUUUAAGAGGAUCAAAUACAACAGUGUUUGAAAAGCACAA